rnacentral:rRNA from 1 species
CGGAAAAGCAAAUGUAGGUAUAAGUAACGACAAAGGGGGCGAGAAACCCCCUCGCCGCAAGACCAAGGGUUUCUGAUCAACGCUAAUCGGAUCAGAGUCAGUCGGGACCUAAGGCACAGCCGCAAGGCGCAGCCGAUGGAAGAAACGGUCAACAUUCCGUUACUCCCUUCAGGAGUGACGUGGAGACGGAGAAGUGACACUCCCGCGUGCUGACGGAAUAGCACGUUAAACCGCGUAGGUAUAUCUGAGGCAGGCAAAACCGCCUCAGAUGCUGAAACGGGACAGUACGGAGAGCCCCCGUGGCAAUCCGACAGCGGAGGUAAUCAGGCUCCCAAGAAAAUCCGCUAAACUUAAUCCUGAAGGGACCCGUACCCCAAACCGACACAGGUGGUCGGGUAGAACAUACCAAGGCGCUCGAGAGAUUCACGGUUAAGGAACUAGGCAAAUUGACCCCGUAACUUCGGGAUAAGGGGUCCCCUCCUUCGCGGGAGGGGCGCAGAGAAUAGGUCCAGGCAACUGUUUAACAAAAACACAGGGCUGUGCGAAAUUGAAAGAUGAAGAAUACAGCCUGACACCUGCCCGGUGCCGGAAGGUUAAGAGGAGAUGUCAUCGCAAGAGAAGCAUUGAAUUGAAGCCCCGGUAAACGGCGGCCGUAACUAUAACGGUCCUAAGGUAGCGAAAUUCCUUGUCGGGUAAGUUCCGACCUGCACGAAUGGUGUAAUGAUCCGGACACUGUCUCAACCGUGAGCUCGGUGAAAUUGUAGUAUCGGUGAAGAUGCCGAUUACCCGCAACGGGACGAAAAGACCCCGUGAACCUUUACUGCAGCUUAGCACUGUGACCGGGUGUGCGAUGUGUAGGAUAGUCAGGAGAC